GAUCAUUUGUUUGUCGGAUUAAGAUGAGAAAGAUCAUAUGUUGUAAGCUCAAAAUACCAUUUGCAAAUAACGGUCUGACACACACGUGCAAAAAGCUCAAGAGGCAAACUUUGACCAUCAAGAAAUCUCUUGCCAGUCUGGUUCUGAUGGGAUUCGGUGCAUUAAGAAGAUGAGGCGGCUUGAGCGGAGCUGCGACGAGAAACGGCUGGAGGGAUUGUGAAGAGGCUUGAGGAUGAGAUUGAGCAUAGGAGGUUUGUUGCGGAUGUUUGUGUUGUAAAUAGACUAUUAGAGUCUCAAGAAUAUUGGAAAGAGUCACUUUAGAUUUUCAAGGAACAUGACAUUAAUAGUGUUAUAGUUCCAAUUGUAUUGUUCCUAGGUGCAUUACUUUUCUAGUCCUAUAAAUAGAGAUGUACUAUGUAUCAACAAUAAUAAUUCAAGCCUAAUACAAUGUAGUCUUCAAAGCUUUUAGCGUCU